rnacentral:rRNA from 1 species
GCUGACGAGUGGCGGACGGGUGAGUAAUGCUUGGGAAUCUGGCUUAUGGAGGGGGAUAACUACGGGAAACUGUAGCUAAUACCGCGUAAUAUCGGAAGAUUAAAGGGUGGGACUUUCGGGCCACCUGCCAUAAGAUGAGCCCAAGUGGGAUUAGGUAGUUGGUUAGGUAAAGGCUGACCAAGCCGACGAUCUCUAGCUGGUCUGAGAGGAUGACCAGCCACACUGGAACUGAGACACGGUCCAGACUCC